UGGGGAAUAUUGCACAAUGGGCGCAAGCCUGAUGCAGCGACGCCGCGUGAGGGAUGAAGGCCUUCGGGUUGUAAACCUCUUUCAGUAGGGAAGAAGCGAAAGUGACGGUACCUGCAGAAGAAGCGCCGGCUAACUACGUGCCAGCAGCCGCGGUAAUACGUAGGGCGCAAGCGUUAUCCGGAAUUAUUGGGCGUAAAGAGCUCGUAGGCGGUUUGUCGCGUCUGCCGUGAAAGUCCGGGGCUUAACUCCGGAUCUGCGGUGGGUACGGGCAGACUUGAGUGAUGUAGGGGAGACUGGAAUUCCUGGUGUAGCGGUGAAAUGCGCAGAUAUCAGGAGGAACACCGAUUGCG
rnacentral:rRNA from 1 species